GGUUGCGUGGUGUAGGUGGUUAUCACUCGAGAUUCUGAUUGAUUGUAAUUCUCGUAACCCCGGUUCGAAUCCGGGCGCGACCU